rnacentral:rRNA from 1 species
GGCCCGUGCGCAGCUAUACAUGCAGUCGAGCGAGCAGAACCAGCAGAUUUACUUCGGUAAUGACGCUGGGGACGCGAGCGGCGGAUGGGUGAGUAACACGUGGGGAACCUGCCCCAUAGUCUGGGAUACCACUUGGAAACAGGUGCUAAUACCGGAUAAGAAAGCAGAUCGCAUGAUCAGCUUAUAAAAGGCGGCGUAAGCUGUCGCUAUGGGAUGGCCCCGCGGUGCAUUAGCUAGUUGGUAAGGUAACGGCUUACCAAGGCAAUGAUGCAUAGCCGAGUUGAGAGACUGAUCGGCCACAUUGGGACUGAGACACGGCCCAAACUCCUACGGGAGGCAGCAGUAGGGAAUCUUCCACAAUGGACGCAAGUCUGAUGGAGCAACGCCGCGUGAGUGAAGAAGGUUUUCGGAUCGUAAAGCUCUGUUGUUGGUGAAGAAGGAUAGAGGUAGUAACUGGCCUUUAUUUGACGGUAAUCAACCAGAAAGUCACGGCUAACUACGUGCCAGCAGCCGCGGUAAUACGUAGGUGGCAAGCGUUGUCCGGAUUUAUUGGGCGUAAAGCGAGCGCAGGCGGAAGAAUAAGUCUGAUGUGAAAGCCCUCGGCUUAACCGAGGAACUGCAUCGGAAACUGUUUUUCUUGAGUGCAGAAGAGGAGAGUGGAACUCCAUGUGUAGCGGUGGAAUGCGUAGAUAUAUGGAAGAACACCAGUGGCGAAGGCGACUCUCUGGUCUGCAACUGACGCUGAGGCUCGAAAGCAUGGGUAGCGAACAGGAUUAGAUACCCUGGUAGUCCAUGCCGUAAACGAUGAGUGCUAAGUGUUGGGAGGUUUCCGCCUCUCAGUGCUGCAGCUAACGCAUUAAGCACUCCGCCUGGGGAGUACGACCGCAAGGUUGAAACUCAAAGGAAUUGACGGGGGCCGCACAAGCGGUGGAGCAUGUGGUUUAAUUCGAAGCACGCGAGACCUUACCAGGUCUUGACAUCUAGUGCAUCCUAAGAGAUUAGGAGUUCCUUCGGGACGCUAGACAGUGUGCAUGCUGUCGUCAGCUCGUGUCGUGAGAUGUUGGGUAGUCCGCACGAGCGCACCUUGUUAUUAGUGCAGCAUUAAGUGGGCCUCUA